UAGAAAAUCGUAUGAAACUACGACAUAAAUGAAUAAAUAAAACCGUUUUGAACGUUUUUGAACGGUUUGAAUUUAGGAUCGAUUGUUUAACAUUUUUUCUAUCGAUAUCUAAUAUGCAAAUGCCUGACUAAUUAGAAGAUAGUGUCGUCUGCUUUUUCUUUCUUUCAUUUUGCCAUGCGUUUAGCUUAACAAGUUCCAGAAGAAGUUUGAGAUUACAAAAAGAACGGAACGAUUACUUUUAUGGAAACUGCUGCACGAAGAAUAACCCAACAAACAAAAUUAGAAAAAUGUGGUCGUCGCGUGUCAACUCUGGUCGCGUUUCUAGAUGGAAUCGCUGAGAACACACCGACUCCAUGCUGUUUUGGCGGAUUUGAGAAGCCUGAACCAGCCAUCAUAACCACAUGAUCUACAUGACCACAAGUUCAGCAAGUUUUGCUUGUGCUGGCGGAUUCUCAGAAUCAUCACUUGGAUAAACAGCAUCCCGUUUGAUUGCAGAAACUACCGGCCGAGUUACGUCUCCCUUCUUUCCCUUUCUUAAAAUGUCCUUGUGUAUGCCCAUGUGAAUGUGGGUGUAUUCACGCGGACACUCUUAUUUCUACCCUUUUUUAGCAAAUGGAUGAAGCACUUGUGGAUGGAUGCUGGCCGGAUUUCUCCGGCUUAAAGGACGAUCAUCAUUACGAUAGGACUCUUGACACCGAGUGGUUGGACCAAAGUUGGUGUACAGCAUGGGAGAACUGUGUAUAUAGCCAAACAUCCCCUACGAUACAAUACCCACAACAACAACAUACAACAGUUCAACAAAAGCAAAAAGAGAGAAGGGUCGUCUACCGACAUGUGAUGGAUGACAUUAUCACGCUCAGAAGCGAAGAAGCGCAAGACUCACGCUCGCACGUACGACCUUGCGUCUCGUCCGCCUUUUCACCCUUGAUGGAUGGAUGGAUGGCACCCUGGAGAAGAGCAAAACGUCCAUGGACGAGUGAAAAGGAUUCCGAAAAGGCCACAACGAAUUGCGAUUUCGACAAAGUCAUGAAUGAUUUUCACCCAAUAGAGAGAGAAAAUAAAAAUGGUCUAUUUGCAUGGCUGUUUCAGCAUCCGCUUUGAAAUGGAAUACUGUCGGUCACAAGACGAUUUGCUCGGCGAUUUCGCAUCAAACAAAAAUAUCAUACGUCACUAAGUAGUCUACUCUGCUAGAACAACGUAUUCUCUAACUAAAAUAAUAAGUGAAUGUCUUCUAUUGAGCUAUUAAUUAAUCUAAUUUGCAGUUUUUACUUAAUGGUUGGGUCCUCGCUUUCACUGUUUGAACGAAAAAAAGGUCGUCCUUUAACUCCUUUUGCCAUUGUUAUUUCCCAAAGCUCUAAAAUACGACGAACAGAAACAAUUAAUUGAUUUAAAAAGCAGUUAUUCUCUCCUUCCUUCUUACAAAACUCCUGAUCGAAUGAACAGCGCUAGAAGCCAAGCAGAGACUAAAAAAGCAGCUAGGGCUGAACCAGGUAAAACCCACAAGACUCUAAGGCCACAGGGGCCGUCUCAGCUGGACCACCUGAGGACCGCCUUUUCUCCGGAAAUUAAUGGAAUUGGCCGUGCAAUGAUGCUAUCUUUGUCACUUUGCAAUGUUCGAAUUUGGUGACGUUCGUGAAUUUUUAUCGACAGCCGUCCCUUUCGUCCCUUAACAGUAGAUUACUAAUAUUUUCUAAAUUUCCAUUAUCUGUUUUUUUUUUUUUUUUUUUUCAGAACUGAGCUGUUGUUUAGAGACUAUAUCUUAAGAUAGAAAUUUCAAAUAAUGAAUAAAUUUCUGAUUCACGAAUUUUUUAAAAAUAGAAUAUUCCCAAAGAAAUUUGGCAAUCAGCACAUUAUUCAUGAAUGGCCCCUUCGUCAAUUCGUUAGCUAGGACUUGCUAUGGCGCCUCGUUAUUCAUUUAUUUCUUAACUGAGUGCAAAAUCUUUAAAUCUAUUUGCCUUGCCUAUUAUAUCAGGUUUCAAAUCAUCAUUUCUGUGCUAAUAAGAAGUGGGCUACUUUGACCUCAAAUUUCAUGUGGAGCUAGCAUCAAGGCAUCCAUCCUUGAUUUCUUUCCGUACAGUCAUCAAACGAGGUAAUUGUGUAGGAAUUUUUUUGCUCCGUCAGUAGGUGGCUAAAAUCAAGUUGUCCCCCAGCCGCCAGAUGACGCUAGUGUCUUCGAGAGGACAAAAUUCGCCAUUUUGUUCCGAAACGCCAAGACCAAGUGGCAAGUGAAAAGGUAUUCCAAAUUCGUUACGAAGUUGCAGUGUCGAUCUACAUUUUCAGCAAUUGAAAUUUAAUGACAAUCUGGCAUAUAAUUUCCACUUGGCCAAAUAACCGAUCACGUGGACUGAACCUGCUUUCCAUUUUGCCAAAAUGUCGUCCGUUGUUAGGUCUACCUGUUCGUAUCGGAUGUACGUCUCAUCUCACCCAGAAACACUACAGAGGUGACAGUUGACUUGGUGUUCAGGUUGGAGAUCCUGUUGCUUUACUGUUGCAGAAUGUGAGAACUCAACAAAGUCUUAUCCCAUGGCUGGCAUCAUUACAGUGGUUUUGUUGCAGCCAGCUGGUGAAAGGUGUGAUCGAGCCAAUUUGAGCUGCAGCUGCUGCAUGCAGUUUAACAAUCUGGUGUUAUCCUCAAGUGUCAUUGCAGGAAGACUUUUUGAAAUGGACUUGGUGAUACUUAAACUAUGCCUGUGCUGUUCAUUGUGCAGUGGUUUUGCAGCCUGUUUCCAGUUGACACAUGUGAUUAUGCAGCUGAUACAGGAUUAAAGAAAAAGAACUGAAGUAGCUGUGCUGGUGUUCUCCUGAAAUUGCUGUGCCACAGGAGUUGCAGAUAGUGUUUGGUUACUUAUAGAAUUUUAUUUAAAGAGUCUGGAGAUGAUCAGCCUUCUGCCUAUAACUUUUGUAAAACUUCAAAGUUGUAAUAAAAAUACAAGUCAA
rnacentral:lncRNA from 1 species